rnacentral:rRNA from 1 species
UACGUAGGGGGCAAGCGUUGUCCGGAUUUACUGGGCGAAAAGCGCGUGUAGGCGGCCACGCAGGUCCGUUGUGAAACCUGGAGGCUUAACCUCCAGACGUCGACGUAAACCGUGUGGCUAGAGUCCGGAAGAGGAGAGUGGAAUUCCUGGUGUAGCGGUGAAAUGCGCAGAUAUCAGGAAGAACACCAAUGGCGAAGGCAGCUCUCUGGGACGGUACUGACGCUGAGCCGCGAAUGCGUGGGGAGCGAACAGG